CCUGGUUGAUCCUGCCAGUAGUCAUAUGCUUGUCUCAAAGAUUAAGCCAUGAAUGGCUCAGCAAAAGCUUUACCAAGCAAAAUUGCGGAUGGCUCAUUCAAUCCGUUACGGUUCCCCCUACAUGAAUAACUGUGGUAAUUCUAGAGCUAAUACAUGCCAGCAAGCGCCGACCUUACGGGAGGCGUGCUCUUAUUAGGAAAAAGACCAACCAGGGCCCGUCCCAGCUCUGUUGGUGAACUCUGGAUUACCUGGCCGAUCGCACGGUCCUUGCUAGGGCGACGGAUCCUUCGAAUGUCUGCCCUAUCAAUUUUCGAUGGUACGUUAUGCGCCUGCCAUGGUCGUAACGGGUAACGGAGAAUCAGGGUUCGAUUCCGGAGAGGGAGCUUGAGAAACAGCUACCACAUCCAAGGAAGGCAGCAGGUGCACAAAUUACCCACUCCCGAUACGGGGAGGUAGUGACGAAAAAUAGCAAUACAGCACUCUUCCGAGGCCCUGUCACUGGAAUGAGUACACUUGAAAUCCUUUAACCAGGAUCUAUAGGAGAGCAAGUCUGGUGCCAGCAGACGCAGCAAUUCCAGCUCCAAUAGCGUAUAUUCAAAUUUCUGCAGUUAAAAAGCUCGUAUUGGAUCUUGGGCGCAGGCUGGCGGUCCGCCGCAAGGCACACCACUGCCCGCCUGGCCUUCCUCUCGGUCUCCGCCCGGUUCUCUUGACUGAGUGCCGAAAGCGGCCGGAACGUUUACUUUGAAAAAAAAAUGGAUUUUUCAAAGCAGGCCGACCGCCUGGACAGCAGAGCAUGGAAUAAUGGAAUAGGACCUCGGUUCUAUUGCGUUGAUUUUCGGAACUCGAGGUAAUGAUUAAGAGGGACUGAGAGGGGUAUUCGUAUUGCGGUGUGAGAGGUGAAAUUUUUGGAUCGCCGCAAGAAAACCGCCUGCAAAAGCAUUUGCAAAGAAUGUUUACAUUAAUCAAGAACGAAAGUUAGAGGUUCGAAGGCGAUCAGAUACUGCUCUAGUUCUAACCAAAACGAUGCCGAAUGGCCAUCUGCCGGCGUUACUCCAAUGACGCGGCGGGCAGUCUUCGGGAAACCAAAGUCUUUGGGUUCCGUGGGAAGUACGGUUGCAAAGCUGAAACGUAAAGGGAUUGACAGAAGGGCACCACCAGUAGUGGAGCCUGCGGCUUAAUUUGACUCAACACGGGGAAACUCACCCGGCCCUGACACAGUGAGGAUUGACAGAUUGAGAGCUCUUUCUUGAUUGUGUGGGUGGUGGUGCGUGACCGUUCUUAGUUGGUGGAGCGGUUUGUCUGGUUAAUUCCGAUAAAGAACGAGACUCUGGCUUGCUAAAUAGUCGCGCCGGCCGCCGCGCCGGACGCUGACUUCUUAGAGGGACAAGUGGCGUUCAGCCACGCGAGAUUGAGCAAUAACAGGUCUGUGAUGCCCUUAGAUGUUCGGGGCCGCAUGCACGCUACACUGAAGGGAUCGGCAGGUAGCUGCCAUUGGCCGGAAUGUCUGGGCAAUCCGUUGAGCCUCAUUCGUGCUUGGGAUAGGGAGUUGCAACUGUCUCCCUUGAACGAGGAAUUCCCAGUAAGGGCGAGUCAUCAGCUCGCGUUGAUUACGUCCCUGCCCUUUGCACACACCGGCCGUGGCUACUACCGAUUGAAUGGUUCAGUGAGAUCCUCGGGCGGGCCGCGGCGGGGCCCCCAGGCGCCUCACUUGUGCGCCCUGAAGACGAUCGAACUUGAUGAUUUAGAGGAAGUAAAAGUCGUAACAGGGUUUCCGUAGGUGAACCUGCGGAAG
rnacentral:rRNA from 1 species